rnacentral:tRNA from 1 species
UCUUAAGAAAUCAUUAGAUGAUGAGCUGUAAACUCAUAUUUGAAAUUAGCUCAUUUAGCCU